rnacentral:rRNA from 1 species
GACGAACGCUGGCGGCGUGCUUAACACAUGCAAGUCGAACGGAAAGGCCCUGCUUGCAGGGUACUCGAGUGGCGAACGGGUGAGUAACACGUGGGUGAUCUGCCCUGCACUUCGGGAUAAGCCUGGGAAACUGGGUCUAAUACCGGAUAGGAGCCAUUUUUAGUGUGAUGGUUGGAAAGUUUUUUCGGUGUGGGAUGAGCUCGCGGCCUAUCAGCUUGUUGGUGGGGUAAUGGCCUACCAAGGCGGCGACGGGUAGCCGGCCUGAGAGGGUGGACGGCCACAUUGGGACUGAGAUACGGCCCAGACGCCUACGGGAGGCAGCAGUGGGGAAUAUUGCACAAUGGGCGCAAGCCUGAUGCAGCGACGCCGCGUGGGGGAGGACGGCCUUCGGGUUGUAAACUCCUUUCGCUAGGGACGAAGCUUUUUGUGACGGUACCUAGAUAAGAAGCACCGGCUAACUACGUG